GUGCUAGAGAGGGAAUAGAGAGAGAGGGAUUGACCUUGUCUUAUAGAAAGAGGAGAGGGGAGGGUGGUAUAGGGGGAAUAGAGAGAGAGGGGUUGACCUUGUCUUUAGGUAGGUACUACAGAAGGAGAGCUAGGGUGGGGGGUUACCUUUUAUUUACCUAAUAGAGGUUAUCAGUCCAACGGAAGAGAGAAGGAGAACUAAUAGGAGGGGGCGAUCGUUACCUUUUGUUAACCUAGACGAGAUAGUUUGUCUUCCGUACCUAAGUUACACCAGCUCUUCGAAAAACCUAGUUUAUUAAAAUGAGUACACGUAGUCUUAGCAUAAAAGUGUCUUAAACAAAAGAACGUCCGAAUGUCAUCGUAACUGGAACUGAAAAAGAAAACUAAGUGUAAGUUAGAAAAGACAUAGCACAUAAGAGAAUCAAAGACGAGAGGUCUCUAAACGAGGUCUUAGGAUAGUCCAUAUCAAAAAACCAAUGGAGUACCUCUAGUCCAGUCUCGUGUGGUUGAUAUGGGUAUUAGGUAUCCGAGAAGGAGAGCUAAUAGUGAGAAACGGGGCUACCUCUUGUUUACCAGCAGAGAGAGUGUCUUCCAGAUACUAACUUAAUUGGUACGGAAAAAGAAAACCUAAGUUUAAAAGAAGAUAGGACAGUAGAGUAUAACAACACGAGUGGUACCUAACCUAGGAAAGGGAAUGGUGCAUGUUAAAAACCUACCGGGUACCUGUAGUCCAGUCUCGUCUGUUUAAUAUGGGUAGUCGCGACCAGUUCUAAGAGGGUGAGGUACGGUUGCAACAAAGACGUCGAAGGGAGCUGUGAUUGGUUCACAUAUUGCAAAUUUUGUCACCACACGCUGUACUACUACGUUAUUUGGGGUUAAUUACCUCCUCCACUAAACGGUUGUGUUUGUACAAUAAAGAGAUUCCCGCCGGUCAACUAACCACUCGGGUAUUUAACGACAGAUACCAACAGAGAUCCACCGUUUUUACUAAAGGGGCUCGAUCGUAGUAACAACCUGUCUCAACCUCUGGCUCAACUUCGUCUUGAUACAUCGUCUCGAUACGUACAGUAGUCAGUGGUACAGCGUUUAUGCAACGGAUUACGUAGCCUCCGAGUACAAUCUGAACCGGUAAAAGAGGGUUUUUUUAAGUUAGUCUGCCAACAUGAUGUCUUAAACGUGACGAAUGUUCGUUCCUAACUGGAAGUGCAGGCAGGUACGUACAAUUGAAUCAUUCAAUUAAAUCCAAUUUCAACACUACUUACGUACGGGCCAAAUUUCACUUCUGCUGAUAACAGUUGUACACACCAAAUUCUAAAUAGAUGUAUUAGUUUAAUAACGGGUUAUUUGGUUUGUAUACGUUUUCAUUCUUAUAAUUAGUUAACAUCAGUUGUGGUUAUGUGGACUGCAUUGAGAUCAACCUACGCAAACCUACGCUAGCCUGACAUGGUACAAAUUACCAUUUAGCCUGUAUGUUCUUCUUUUUAUACAUACCUACUCUUAACUAGAGUUAUACUUUUUGUUUCAAGGUAGAAAAAAAGUUAGAAGGGGCAAGUCUAAACAAGGCCUUCACUAAUUCAAAAUUACUCUACCUCGGGCAGAUAGUCUUAUACUUAAGGAC
rnacentral:rRNA from 1 species